GGUGUUGUUCCUUACAGAGUGGCUAGUCAGAGUUGUCUAGUGUCCAGUCAGGCUAACCGGUCUAUGCCAAUAAGAGACAGAUCUCUUGGUCCACUGGUGCCUGGACAUGGACUUCCUAACAACACGGUGUCAUCGUCACAAGGAUACAGAAUGGGGGAGUUGUCAUCACAAGGGUACAGAUCUGGGGAGCCGUGGAAUGGUUCUGGUUUCAGAAAUUCGAAUCCUUACCACUCCUCACAGACAUCACUGCAGACAUUAAGAACUCCCGUCAGCAUCCCUGGCCUUCUGCACAGUAAGCAAAUAAGAUAAAACAGGAUUUGAACCCGUGGCAGACUUGAAGAAACAAUGGGAAUAAGGUCAACAUGUAGAAGCAGCAA